CAGUAGCCGCGGUAAUACGUAGGGUGCAAGCGUUAAUCGGAAUUACUGGGCGUAAAGCGUGCGCAGGCGGUUUGUUAAGACAGAUGUGAAAUCCCCGGGCUCAACCUGGGAACUGCAUUUGUGACUGGCAAGCUAGAGUCUGGCAGAGGGGGGUGGAAUUCCGCGUGUAGCAGUGAAAUGCGUAGAUAUGCGGAGGAACACCGAUGGCGAAGGCAGCCCCCUGGGCCAACACUGACGCUCAUGCACGAAAGCGUGGGGAGCAAACAGGAUUAGAUACCCCCGUAGUCCCUGUCUCUUAUAC
rnacentral:rRNA from 1 species